GUAGACGAAGGCGCUCCAUGACUCCGGGAUCCGCUGCUGGACUUGGGAUCCGGGGCUUAAGGUGAAAUCGAGGUACAUUGUCGGAGUCUGGGUGUAGACCGGCGACUGGACGCCGAAGGAUUCUCCGGCAAUGAUGCGGACGGCGCAGCAGGCAUUUCUGAGUGAAUAAUUCCUUUACCAGCAGUCAUCCACUGAGGAAAUUAGAAGUCAUGACCCAUCAAAUGCAGUACGGAGGUGAACUGAUGAAAUAUUAUUAUUCAAUAAGCUCGAGGAGUGAUGAUCAUCAAUAGUACCUGCAGAUCUCCAGCUCUGAUGGUGCCUUUAUGCCCUGCAAAAUCCUGGUCUUACAUCGCUUUUUCUUGAAUAAACAAGUAGUUACCAUCGGGAACAAAUGGACGGCAACUUCAUUAAAAAACCACUAGAAGAUGGCUGGAUUUUGAUGUUAAAAAAAUAAAAAAAAUCGAUAUUUCUUAUCCUCUAGGAAGGCUAGCUUGGAAAGAUUGAUUGACUAAAAUUUCAGGUUUAGGUUUAGACCUUUUGCAACAAGGACACCAAUGGGUUUACAAUCUUGCAGGUGGAAUCUUUUGAGAAUUUUCUUGAAGUAUAUCUCUUGCAAAAGAGGUUGAAUUUGAUGCAUCCAGCUUCCCACAACAACAGUGUGGAGGAUGACGUUGACAACGCUCCUUGACAGUUCUGAAAGAAACAGGAAUUUAACAAUUAAGUUUCAAAAUUUUUUAAAUCAAGACCAUAUUUUUUAUUUCAGCAAUUGACCAACAGUUGAAAUUAUCAAGAUGCAUUUAACUUUUUGGAUUUUUUUUUUUUAAAAAUACACUUAUUCCUUA